rnacentral:snRNA from 1 species
GUGAGGGCAAUCUGGGUGUCAUAUCUAUCACUUACUGAUAACAGGGUGGAUUCAGCUGAUAUGGCAGGCUAAAUGAGUGUCCCCUUCCUCCCUAACUGCAUAUGCUUCCCUCCCCAGCUGCAAUCAGUAGAAGAGGAUAUGUUAGUAGAAAGAUGCAUUAUGAAUAUGCUAGUAAAUAUAUGAAAUAAUGUAUACAGGAUAAAUUUCAAUUUAAUCUUCAUUAUUGAUAUUUGCGCUAUCACUUAAAUCUAAACAAUCAACAAAACAAUAAAUCAAGCUGUGAUUUACAGCAUUUGCCAAUUU